rnacentral:rRNA from 1 species
UGCCAGCAGCCGCGGUAAUACGGAGGGUGCAAACGUUGCUCGGAAUUAUUGGGCGUAAAGCGCGCGUAGGCGGUCUUGUAAGUCGGAUGUGAAAGCCCUGGGCUCAACCCAGGAAGUGCAUUCGAAACUGCAAGACUUGAGUACAGGAGAGGGUCGCGGAAUUCCCGGUGUAGAGGUGAAAUUCGUAGAUAUCGGGAGGAACACCAGAGGCGAAGGCGGCGACCUGGACUGAUACUGACGCUGAGGUGCGAAAGCGUGGGGAGCAAACAGGAUUAGAUA